GCCGCUCUAGACUAGUGGAUCCCCCGGGCUGCAGCCCAAUGUGGAAUUCGCCCUUCGACCGCCCCGCGCGGCGGGCGGGGCGGGGGCACGGGGGGCCCACGGGAGGCAGCAGUGGGGAAUAUUGCACAAUGGGCGCAAGCCUGAUGCAGCGACGCCGCGUGAGGGAUGGAGGCCUUCGGGUUGUAAAC
rnacentral:rRNA from 1 species